rnacentral:rRNA from 1 species
UGCAAGUCGAACGGACUUAAUCGAUUCUUUUAGAUUCGAAGCGGUUAGUGGCGGACUGGUGAGUAACACGUAAGCAACCUGCCUGUUAGAGGGGAAUAACAGUGAGAAAUCAUUGCUAAUACCGCAUAUGCCAUGAACAUCACAUGAUGAAAGUGGGAAAAGAGUAAUCUGCUAGUAGAUGGGCUCGCGUCUGAUUAGAUAGUUGGUGGGGUAACGGCCUACCAAGUCGACGAUCAGUAGCCGGACUGAGAGGUUGAACGGCCACAUUGGGACUGAGAUACGGCCCAGACUCCUACGGGAGGCAGCAGUCGGGAAUAUUGCGCAAUGGAGGAAACUCUGACGCAGUGACGCCGCGUAUAGGAAGAAGGUUUUCGGAUUGUAAACUACUGUCGUUAGGGAAGAUACAAGACAGUACCUAAGGAGGAAGCUCCGGCUAACUACGUGCCAGCAGCCGCGGUAAUACGUAGGGAGCAAGCGUUAUCCGGAUUUAUUGGGUGUAAAGGGUGCGUAGACGGGAAAGCAAGUUAGUUGUGAAAUCCCUCGGCUUAACUGAGGAACUGCAACUAAAACUGUUUUUCUUGAGUGUUGGAGAGGAAAGUGGAAUUCCUAGUGUAGCGGUGAAAUGCGUAGAUAUUAGGAGGAACACCGGUGGCGAAGGCGACUUUCUGGACAA